rnacentral:rRNA from 1 species
GGAAUAUUGCGCAAUGGGCGACAGCCUGAUCUAGCCAUGCCGCGUGAGUGAUGAAGGCCUUAGGGUCGUAAAGCUCUUUCGCCAGAGAUGAUAAUGACAGUAUCUGGUAAAGAAACCCCGGCUAACUCCGUGCCAGCAGCCGCGGUAAUACGGAGGGGGUUAGCGUUGUUCGGAAUUACUGGGCGUAAAGCGCACGUAGGCGGAUCAGAAAGUUGGGGGUGAAAUCCCAGGGCUCAACCCUGGAACGGCCUCCAAAACUCCUGGUCUUGAGUUCGAGAGAGGUGAGUGGAAUUCCGAGUGUAGAGGUGAAAUUCGUAGAUAUUCGGAGGAACACCAGUGGCGAAGGCGGCUCACUGGCUCGAUACUGACGCUGAGGCGCGAAAGCGUGGGGAGC